CCUACGGGAGGCAGCAGUAAGGAAUAUUGGGCAAUGGACGAAAGUCUGACCCAGCCAUGCCGCGUGAAGGAUGAAGGUCCUCUGGAUUGUAAACUUCUUUUAUCUGGGGCGAAAAUCACCCUUUCUAGGGUGCUUGACAGUACCAGAGGAAUAAGCACCGGCUAACUCCGUGCCAGCAGCCGCGGUAAUACGGAGGGUGCAAGCGUUAUCCGGAUUUACUGGGUUUAAAGGGUGCGUAGGCGGGCAGGUAAGUCAGUGGUGAAAUCCCCGAGCUUAACUCGGGAACUGCCGUUGAUACUAUCUGUCUUGAAUACCGUGGAGGUGAGCGGAAUAUGUCAUGUAGCGGUGAAAUGCUUAGAUAUGACAUAGAACACCGAUUGCGAAGGCAGCUCGCUACACGGUCAUUGACGCUGAGGCACGAAAGCGUGGGGAUCAAACAGGAUUAGAUACCCUGGUAGUCCACGCCCUAAACGAUGAUUACUCGACAUCAGCGAUACACUGUUGGUGUCUAAGCUAACGCAUUAAGUAAUCCACCUGGGAAGUACGAUCGCAAGAUUGAAACUCAAAGGAAUUGACGG
rnacentral:rRNA from 1 species